CAGGACCUUGCAUAAGCUUGGCAAGUUCUCUACUACUGAGCCAUACUUUCAGCCCCAGUGACUAUGACAUAAAAAAUGAAGCUGAGGAAUUAAAAGAAAAAUAGUAAUUGAGGACUUAUAGUUGGAGAGAAAUGCUCAAGGAACAAAUCCCAAAUUAUUAUGGGAGUCAAGAUAAAUUUACUUAAACAAGAGAAUUUUUCCCCCAUUCAUUUUCUUACUUUACUAUCAGCCAAAUAUUUCUUCAGGAAAAUGAAAUCAAUAUAUAGAGUUGAUUAUGGCCAUGGACCUACGAUAGCAUAAAGCAAUGCCUUUCUCUUAUUUUUAUUUCUGCUAUCUCUUUCUUGGUGGGUAAAACAGAUCAACUAGAAACUUCUUUGUUCUCUUCAGGACAUCUUUUAAAAAGAUAUUACUUAAGAGUUUCAGAGAUUAGUUCUUGGUACCUGAGAAUUAUAAUCAAGAAACAGGUCCUUUUUCCCUUAAGUACAUCAUUGGUUCACAUUCAGGAUAAAUAAUAUAUAUGUUCAAACCAAUCAAUAUGGGUACAUAAAUGAAUGAGUCACCACUACUUAUUGUGUACUUAUGAUAUGUUAAAUAAUAUAUUGUUGAGCAAAAACAUAAAGUUUAUCUUAGGAAAUUCAAAUAUAUUUUAAUAAAAAUAAAUUUUAUUUUGUUUUAUAUGGAUAUAAAAAAUUACAGUAGAAUAGUAUAAAUUAAUGGGUGUUGGAGUGUUGGAUAUCUAGAGUCUUGUCCCAGCUUUGCCACUUCCUAGCUAUGUGACAUUGGGCAAUUUAUUUGACCUACUUAAGUGGUCUUCAUUAUGUUGUCAGAGAUUAUUUCCUCCUGUCAUUUGAAAAGUGUAAUGGAAAGAACACUGGACUAGGAGCAGAUCAUGGUUUGUGGUUUCUGCUCCUGGCUCCAGGAUCUACCUGCUCUGGUCUCAGUUUCUUAUUCAAUAAAAUAGAGAGAUUGGAUCAGGUAAUUUCUAAAGCUUCUUCCAUAUUUUGGGACACAAUUAGCUUUGUCUUCACCCAGAAUUUUAUAUUCAUGAAGGAAAAUGAGUUUUCUUAGUACUCCCCUUUCAUAGUCCUUUAUUUAUCUACUUAUUUAUUUUCCAAUGUGCAACCCCUUUCAGUGCCAGCAGCCUUAGACUCAGAGGCCAGACAAUGGUUCGGGGCCAGUUUGCUCUGGCAUGGGACACUAUGAGACUGACGGGAAAGGCCUGCCAUAAAUUCAAACCUAUGCAUCCCAGUCCUUUAUAUUAAAAGAUCUGUUUGAAUCUAAGAGCAAACUAUGCUGAAAAUUUUAAGGUUUGAAAAUCAUUUAUGUACCAGAAAAGACCUUUGCUUGGAUUUCAAACAAUGGUAGGAGUGGUUUUAGGAAACAUAGUCCACAGUACAACUUAUUUCCCAGGGGUUUGGAAAGAAAGACCUCUCCUAAAACUUGCAUUUUUGAGAAAGGUGGAGCUGAGCUCUCAUCUGUAGAAAACAUCUGUCAGAAUCUAUGAUUCAUUGCCAAAAGCCUUCCUUUGGAAUCUUUUCUUAAUAACAACACUCUAUAACAAAAAGAUGCUUCAUGUUUCAGUGAUGCCUGUAUUUAGACCACCUUCCUAAUCCAUUUAUAAACAUGUCUAAGAAACAGGCUAUGUCUAGACUACCAGAGAGAAAGGCACCCAAAUCAAAAGAAACAGUGACAGAGCAUUGUGGAGCCAGCCAGUGCCAUAUUAGUAUAUCCAUAGGUUAUUUUCCUAAAGAAUGCAAAAAAUACAUAAAACCUUAUGGUAGUUGAUUUCACUUAAAUCAUUCUGUGUUAGUUUGGACAUAUUUAAGACAUCUUUAUCAGCUACAAUUGUGCUAAGAGGCCCAAGAAAUGUAGGCUAUUCAGGCCUUACCAACAUAAAAUAUAAAAAUCAGAACAAAAGAAUCUGUUAAAAUAUUUUGCCCAUUUUAAAAUUAUCUCUUUAUUGAGUUAGAAACUUUUAUGUAUCCUAGAUACAACUUAUUUCUCAGAUGCAUGUCCUACAAAUAUUUUGUUUGUUUGUUUUAUAACACUCUCUUUAGAAAAGUAAACAUUUUAAAUUUCUCUGAUGGCUAAUUUCCU
rnacentral:lncRNA from 1 species